AAUAUUGGACAAUGGGCGCAAGCCUGAUCCAGCCAUACCGCGUGGGUGAAGAAGGCCUUCGGGUUGUAAAGCCCUUUUGUUGGGAAAGAAAAGCAGUCGGUUAAUACCCGAUUGUUCUGACGGUACCCAAAGAAUAAGCACCGGCUAACUUCGUGCCAGCAGCCGCGGUAAUACGAAGGGUGCAAGCGUUACUCGGAAUUACUGGGCGUAAAGCGUGCGUAGGUGGUUGUUUAAGUCUGUCGUGAAAGCCCUGGGCUCAACCUGGGAAUUGCGAUGGAAACUGGGCGACUAGAGUGUGGCAGAGGGUAGUGGAAUUCCUGGUGUAGCAGUGAAAUGCGUAGAGAUCAGGAGGAACAUCCGUGGCGAAGGCGACUGCCUGGGCCAACACUGACACUGAGGCACGAAAGCGUGGGGAGCAAACAGGA
rnacentral:rRNA from 1 species